UACGUAGGGGGCGAGCGUUGUCCGGAGUUACUGGGCGUAAAGCGCACGCAGGCGGUCUGUGAAGUUUGGAGUGACAGUUGGUGGCUCAACCACCAAAGUGCUUUGAAAACUGAUAGACUUGAGGGCUUCAGAGGGACACGGAAUUCCGGGUGGAGUGGUGAAAUGCGUAGAGAUCGGGAGGAACACCAGUGGCGAAGGCGGUUGCCUGGGGCUUUGCUGACGCUGAUGCGCGAAAGCGUGGGGAGCGAACCGG
rnacentral:rRNA from 1 species